GAUGACAUCUUCUUGGACACUCAGUCUGAUGUUCUGCACGUCCUGAACUGAACUUUGCUUGAGACUGAGUAGGGGACAUCUCCCCAAACGACCAGCAGGGACCACUAGAGACCCCCGAAGAGGCCUAUGCAGGUGCAGUAACACUGCAUAAGGUUGCACAAGUUAAGCAAUUAUGCAGUAGGCAGGGGUAACUGUGUAUUAGAUAGGCAGGUUUAUGUAGAUUUCAGUGUGUGAAUUCUCUCACAUUUUAAUCCUUGGUUGGCUUGAUUUGUGGAAAAUCUCUGCUUUGCAUCUCGGGCAGAAUAAACAAUGUCUCCUUUCUAAACCCUCUGUCCAUGUUUAGAGAGUUCUGAAAGUUGGCAACAAAAGCAGUAAAUUGAUUUACAGUUUAGAAGCCUUUGCAGAAGAAUUAAUUUAUUGGAGGUGCUGCCCAAGCAUUCAAAGAGGAGAAGAAAUUAAGCAGAUCCCAGCAGGAAGGAGCAGAUGCGGCCAAGGCAAAGACAGAAUCUGCUGCAGCCAUGCCAUCGGGUCCUGUUGCAGAGACGUUCCAAGUUAUUCAAGGGGCAGUGACCGAGGAGUACGUGAGAAGUACUCAGGGUGUCUUUCAGUUUGAGCUCUCUGGCGAUGGUGGAGGCACUUGGUACAUUGACCUGAAGACCAAGGGUGGGAGCGCUGGCUUCGGAAAGCCUCCCGUGACAGCUGAUGUGGUUAUGAGCAUGUCGAGCGCCGACUUUGUGAAGAUGUUCACAGAUUUGGAGGCCCAUAAAAAUGAAGUGACUAAAAAACUUGUGACUGUUUUGCUACUGUGAAUAACUGGAGAGAAAGUUACAGGUUUUUUAGGUGACGAUAAAUGGAGAGAAUGGCUCCAGGACGUGCAUAAGAGAGACACGAUCUGCAGGCUGCUGACACUGGUGAGCAGGACUGAUGGCUCGUCGUACUGCGAAGAUGUUCCAGGAAUGCAGAUAUGAUACUUCACAGAUUUUGCUUUAAAAACCUUUCCCUACCUAAAGAGAAGCUGGGGGGUGUGAGGGAGAAGUUGCCUGCUUGAUCUUCCUCUUUAAGGACCACUCU